rnacentral:rRNA from 1 species
AGAGUUUGAUCCUGGCUCAGAUUGAACGCUGGCGGCGUGCCUAACACAUGCAAGUCGAGCGGUAACGCGGGAGCAAUCCUGGCGACGAGCGGCGAACGGGUGAGUAAUGCUUCGGAAUCUACCCAAUGGUGGGGAAUAACCAGCCGAAAGGUUGGCUAAUACCGCAUAAGACCCACGGGUGAAAGCAGGGGAUCGCAAGA